UUCCUACGGGGGGCUGCAGUUAGGAAUCUUCCGCAAUGGACGGAAGUCUGACGGAGCGACGCCGCUUGGAGGAGGAAGCCCUUCGGGGUGUAAACUCCUGAACUGGGGACGAAAGCCCUGUGUAGGGGGAUGACGGUACCCAGGUAAUAGCGCCGGCCAACUCCGUGCCAGCAGCCGCGGUAAUACGGAGGGCGCGAGCGUUACCCGGAUUUACUGGGCGUAAAGGGCGUGUAGGCGGCCUGGGGCGUCCCAUGUGAAAGGCCACGGCUCAACCGUGGAGGAGCGUGGGAUACGCUCAGGCUAGAGGGUGGGAGAGGGUGGUGGAAUUCCCGGAGUAGCGGUGAAAUGCGCAGAUACCGGGAGGAACGCCGAUGGCGAAGGCAGCCACCUGGUCCACUUCUGACGCUGAGGAGCGAAAGCGUGGGGAGCAAACCGGAUUAGAUACCCCGGUAGUCCUG
rnacentral:rRNA from 1 species